AAAAGAAAAUGCAUAAUAUAUGUCUCUGACUUUUUAUUAAUUUAAUGUCAAAGCAUCAAAUUCAUAAGUAACAAUCUUCAGAAUCUCUCUCUCCCCCCUUAGUGCAAAGCACAUUAUGACAUUCCAAAAACAACUCUUCCCCAUCCUCUUCUUCCUCUUCCCUCUCUUACACCUUUCCCACCAACAAAACUGCCCUUCUUCCUCAUGUGAUGGACAUAGCUAUCUCCAUGUCCGUUUCCCCUUCCGGCUUCCCCACAAGCAGCCAAGAACCUGCGGUUACCCUGGAUUCAACCUCGCCUGCGACGAUCAGCACAACACGGUCCUUGAACUCCCGAAAGUUGGUAGGCUUUUUGUCCGGAAGAUCGACUAUCUAAACCAACAGAUCAGCCUAUAUGACCCUGGCCAUUGCUUGGCCGGAAAACUCGUCGACUUCGACGCUUCUGGAUCUCCUUUCGCCGCUCCUUUGCUCGUCAACUACACGUUCUUGAGAUGUCCUAACGAGGUCGUGGGGUCGGGGUACACGGCCAUUGGUUGCCUUGGAAACUCCACGUCAUCGGUUCUGGCCACUUCUAACAUGGAUCUUGUGAAAUCGAUGCCGGAAUCUUGUGUUGUAAUGAAGACGUUGCCUGUUCCAGUUUCUUGGCCGACAGGGGAAAACGCAAGGUUCUCGACCGAGCUCAACGAUCACGACAUGAAGCUGACAUGGGAUUCACCAGAUUGCAGAAUAUGUGAGAGAAACCAGCUUAGUUGUGGGCUCAUAAGCAAUGCCAGCCUUCAAGUCAGAUGCUUUUAUUAUGACAACCCUGGAAACUUCAACACGGCUUUCCAAAUACUGAAAAUAGUAACCCUAUCUGUAGCCGGACCAGCCGCCGUGGUGGCCACUUGUGUAGCCAUUUUCGCAUGCACCUCCGAACGGUUCAACUCCAAUAGACGGAACGCAUCUGCAGCUGCAGCCACGGUUGCUCCUCAGCCAAACACCGCCACGACCACGGGACUGGACGAGUCUACGAUAGAGUCGUACAAGAAGGUCGAACUCGGAGAAAGUAGGAGGCUUCCGGGACCUAACGGGAUCAUAUGUCCGAUAUGUCUGUCGGAAUACGCGAGCAAAGACACCGUUCGAUGCAUACCCGAAUGCGAACACUGCUUCCACGCUGAGUGUAUCGACGAGUGGCUCCGCUUGCAUAACUCUUGCCCUCUUUGUAGAAACUCUCCCUCUCCUGCUCGUGAAGGUGCCGCCGCCAUUGCUGUCUGAUAUUUGAUUGAUUCGAGACCAGGGUAAGGACAGUUUUGCAAUGUUGUCGCCAUCACCCCAGAAUGGUACUAUUCUACCACUAGACCACUGGUGCAAUGUGGUGGAACAACAACAUUUUUCAGUGAACAAAAAUAUGAACGUUUUCCUCUCGUCGCUUUUGACUUCAUGGCCAUUCACGUCUCGUAUGGUACUGCAGUCAAUUAUGAGAACCCUCUUUCCAAAGUUUUAUUCAAGAUCUCAAUACUCAUUGAUCGAUAUCCUACGGUGAAUCUAUAUGCAUGUCACUGUACCCACCCAAUAUCUACUGACAAAGUGUGAGAUACAAAGGAGACUCCAAUUAAAACUGGGAUGAGUGGGAUGGUUUCUGAGGAAAU